rnacentral:rRNA from 1 species
UACGUAGGGUGCAAGCGUUGUCCGGAAUUAUUGGGCGUAAAGAGCUCGUAGGCGGUCUGUCGCGUCGGCUGUGAAAACUCGGGGCUCAACCCCGAGCCUGCAGUCGAUACGGGCAGACUAGAGUGCGGUAGGGGAGACUGGAAUUCCUGGUGUAGCGGUGAAAUGCGCAGAUAUCAGGAGGAACACCGGUGGCGAAGGCGGGUCUCUGGGCCGUAACUGACGCUGAGGAGCGAAGCGUGGGAGCAAACAGG